rnacentral:rRNA from 1 species
AACGAACGCUGGCGGCAUGCCUAACACAUGCGAGUCGAACGAGACCUUCGGGUCUAGUGGCGCACGGGUGCGUAACGCGUGGGAACCUGCCCUUAGGUUCGGAAUAACUCCCCGAAAGGGGUGCUAAUACCGGAUAAUGUCUUCGGACCAAAGAUUUAUCGCCUCUGGAUGGGCCCGCGUUGGAUUAGCUAGUUGGUAGGGUAAAAGCCUACCAAGGCGACGAUCCAUAGCUGGUCUGAGAGGAUGAUCAGCCACACUGGGACUGAGACACGGCCCAGACUCCUACGGGAGGCAGCAGUGGGGAAUAUUGGACAAUGGGCGAAAGCCUGAUCCAGCAAUGCCGCGUGAGUGAUGAAGGCCUUAGGGUUGUAAAGCUCUUUUACCCGGGAUGAUAAUGACAGUACCGGGAGAAUAAGCUCCGGCUAACUCCGUG